CAAAGCUUUAAAUUGGCCUAUUCAACUUCACAAAAUCUAAGCCAGUCUGAUUUUAAUUUACACAAAAAACUCUGAGAAGAGGGAAUUAGAAGAAAGAGAGACAGACAGAAAAGAUACAGAAAAGAGCAAAUAUAGCUACCACUCCUGCUGUAGAAGUGUUCCAGCUGACAGAGAUCCCAAAGGGAGGGAGGGACAAGACAAGUGCUUAAGUCAUGUUUGUCCUUAAAUGCCUCUUGUCUUUCCUGAGUUACUUCCCCCAUGUGGGAAUUCAGUCAUUUAGCUACUCAAGGGCUGGGUUGGGGGCUCCAGAGGCAGGUGUAGAGCAUUGCCUCCCAUGUGUCAGGGAUUGGCAGCUGCCACACAGUUGAGAUACAGGCUUUAGUGGUGGGAGGUGUGGAGCAGGGCAGUGACCCACCAGGGCAGGGCCUCACCUGGUUCUCCCCUUCCCUCAAACUCUCACCCCAAAAUGUCUCAAGAUAGUCUUCCCAGACUCUUACACAGCCACAGCCCGAAUUUUUCCAUAGCUUAUAUGCCACAUUUAAGAAGAGUUGAUUCAUUUCCAGAAACAUUUGAACAGCUGAAAGAAAUAAGAAAGAGAAAAUAUUAUGUACAUUUUCCAUAUCAGUUUAUAAUCAGGAAAGAAGUGAAAAUUUCAUUUCAGACUACUUGGAAAGACUGUGAGAGACUUGUUAGCACAUGCUGGGAUUUGUGCACUUAUGCUCUGAAAGGAGAGAAAAAUCAAUUAGCAGGAGAAUGUG
rnacentral:lncRNA from 1 species